AAGGAUAAAUCGAGUUUUUGUUACGUGGUUUUGACCUAAAGCACAAUUUCGUGGACGACGAUAAGAAAUCGUCAAAAUGACCAUUAAAAUAAUAACUUGAAACAAAUUAUUAGUAUACGAAAUAGGAAAUUAACUUGAUUUUAUUUUAAAGACAAUAAUAUAACAAUAUCUAACCAUUUAUGCGAUAUAUUUGAAAAAUUAUUCGUUUAAUACCAUUAUGU